rnacentral:lncRNA from 1 species
GUUUGUUUAUAGUUAACACGUGUUUGGUUAAUUAUAGUAAGGUAGGUUCGAUUGGGAUAUUGAGUUCAUGCACGACUGAACUCAUGUGGUUUAAAGUCAUUCGAGCCAUUGCAGUCAAAGUGUACAGUAGCAUUUUGCAAAAUAAAUAAUAUUAUUAAUCAUAUUAUUUAUUUUCAGAUUUGUGGACCACAAGUAUGGGGAACCAGUACAGGCUGCUUAAUAGCUAUAUAUUUAUAUGAACUUUCAACAAUAUUAUACUCAUA